GCGUGGAUGAAGAAGGUCUUCGGAUUGUAAAGUCCUUUCGGCGGGGACGAUGAUGACGGUACCCGCAGAAGAAGCCCCGGCUAACUUCGUGCCAGCAGCCGCGGUAAUACGAAGGGGGCUAGCGUUGCUCGGAAUGACUGGGCGUAAAGGGCGCGUAGGCGGUUUGUUUAGUUAGGCGUGAAAUUCCUGGGCUCAACCUGGGGGCUGCGCUUAAUACAGGCAGACUGGAGUGUGAGAGAGGGUUGUGGAAUUCCCAGUGUAGAGGUGAAAUUCGU
rnacentral:rRNA from 1 species